rnacentral:lncRNA from 1 species
UAUCUUUGAAUCAUUACGUAAAUCAUAUCGGAAUAUUAUAAAAUUUAUUUUCUAGAUAUUUUUAACACUUUGCAUCAAAUUUGAUAAAACCGAUUGUUGAUUUGAAAGUCCUAAUAUUGAAAACCACUACAACAAAAACAGUCUAUAGCGACACUUUUAAAUGUAGGUACAUGUUAAAAAAGUGCUGCUAGCUAAAAUUACCGACACUUUUAAAAAGUGUUGCUAUAUGUGGGGUN